AUGGAUGGUUUUCCCCUGAUCAGUGGCUGGAUAGAGAACAUUACCUAUGUGUUUGAUGGAGGUUUUGAUAGAACCCAUUGUAACGCGAAUGCACCACAUGACGUCAACGUGACUUGGACACAAGAACAGACACAUUUACAGUCUGGAUAUGGGAAACCGUCUGCCACUGGGCCUCAGGAAGUGAUCAGUAAACUAAACAUUUCUACACAAGACUGGACCGAUGGGAAAGUAUACUUCUGCAUUGUCAGCCAUGACGAUAUACUGACUCCCAUCAGAAAAAAGAUAUUUAAGGAGCCCGUUGAGUACAGGAAACAACCUUCAGUGUAUCUGCUCCUCCCAUCGGCAGAAGAAUUGUCUGCUCAGCAGUCUGUCACCCUCAGUUGCCUGGUGAAGAACUUCGCUCCCAAAGAGAUCUUUGUGGAGUGGACUGUCAAUGACCAAUCGAUUGAUGCCAACAAAUACAAGAACACUGAGGUGAUGGCAGACAGUGCAGAUGGCAAUUACUCCAUGUACAGCAUGUUAUCCAUCUCAGCCGGAGAUUGGGACAGAGGCUAUUCCUACUCCUGUGUGGUCGGACAUGAAACUUUCCCACUGAAGACCCUGACCAGAGCCGUUAAUAAAUCCAGCGAGAUUAUCCCAACCGAGACGAUGCUGGAAGGUGUUCAACAAGAUGAACGUGACAACCUCUGGCCGACUGCUUCCACCUUCAUCAUCCUCUUCUUCCUGAGUAUUUUCUACAGUGCCACGGUCACUCUAUUUAAGGUCGAAUGA